CUCUUAGAUGUUCUGGGCCGCACACGCGCUACACUGAAGGAGGCAGCGUGUACUCCUGGAUCGAAAGAUUUGGGUAACCCGCGAAUCUCCUUCGUGCUAGGGAUUGAGGUUUGCAAUUAUCCUUCAUGAACGAGGAAUUCCCAGUAAGUGCAAGUCAUAAGCUUGCGCUGACUACGUCCCUGCCCUUUGUACACACCGCCCGUCGCUACUACCGAUUGAAUGAUUUAGUGAGGACUUCGGACUGGGACCGAUGCGGCUUUCGGGCUGCGUCGGUAUUCUGGAAAGAUGUCCAAACUGUAUCAUUUAGAGGAAGUAAAANUCGUAACA
rnacentral:rRNA from 1 species